rnacentral:lncRNA from 1 species
CUCUCUCCUAAUCUGAAUAAUUUAUCUAGGGAAAAAAUAACAUAACCUAUAGUGUGUAUUAUAAUACAAAUACUCUACAUUUGAAACAAGUAGAUUCACUAAUUUAGCUGGAUCUGUUCUUAAAAAAAAAAAAAAAAAAAAAAAAAAAAAGACUAGGAAUAAAUUUCCUGCAUUUUCCAGAGCAAUUUAGUAAUUACCUUCUUAAUACAGAACAAGAAUAUGUCAUCUAGUCUCACCCACUUUAUUAAGAUAAACUGGGAUAUCAAGGUCUUUUUCUUGGAAUAAUUAAUCCAGUGAAUUAGACUAAACGAAGAAGAGGAAGCUCUGCUGCCAGAACUAAAAAUGUCCAUAGCAGGGACAUUCAAGGAGAAUACUCUGUUGAGUCUGAAUUAACUUGUCUCUUGGCAAGAGAAGGUAAGAUCCUUGAUACGCAGAAGCAGAAAAGAAAGAUCAGAAUCUGCUUUUUGUACCCGAGUAAGCCUCUUGGGACCCUUCCUAUGAGUAACGUGUCUACAACCACAAAGCAUGGGAGGAAGUGCCUCAGUUCAGGUUAAAUUCUGAGCACCCAGGAUGCUACUGACAGCCUAACUUCCUUGGUGCUCUCAAAAAGGAGCUGUGGAAAUCAAUGCCCCAGUGCCAUUUGCGUGAGACCUCCUCUCUGCACAGGAC